rnacentral:rRNA from 1 species
UUAAAGAUUUAUUGGACAGAGAUGAGCGUGCGUCCCAUUAGCUAGUUGGUGCGGUAACGGCGUACCAAGGCGACGAUGGGUAGCUGGUGUGAGAGCACGACCAGCCCACACGGGCACUGAGACACGGCCCGACUCCUACGGGAGGCAGCAGUGAGGAAUAUUGGUCAAUGGGCGGAAGCCUGAACCAGCCAUGCCGCGUGAAGGAUGAAGGCGUUCUGCGUUGUAAACUUCUUUUAUUUGGGAAGAAAAUUGUGGUUUCUACUGCAACCGACGGUACCAGAUGAAUAAGCACCGGCUAACUCCGUG